rnacentral:rRNA from 1 species
GUGCACGCUGGCGGUAGGCCUAACACAUGCACGUCGAACGGCAGCACAGUAAGAGCUUGCUCUUACGGGUGGCGAGUGGCGGACGGGUGAGGAAUACAUCGGAAUCUACUUUUUCGUGGGGGAUAACGUAGGGAAACUUACGCUAAUACCGCAUACGACCUACGGGUGAAAGCAGGGGAUCUUCGGACCUUGCGCGAUUGAAUGAGCCGAUGUCGGAUUAGCUAGUUGGCGGGGUAAAGGCCCACCAAGGCGACGAUCCGUAGCUGGUCUGAGAGGAUGAUCAGCCACACUGGAGCUGAGACACGGUCCAGACUCCUACGGGAGGCAGCAGUGGGGAAUAUUGGACAAUGGGCGCAAGCCUGAUCCAGCCAUACCGCGUGGGUGAAGAAGGCCUUCGGGUUGUAAAGCCCUUUUGUUGGGAAAGAAAAGCAGCAGGUUAAUACCCCGCUGUUCUGACGGUACCCAAAGAAUAAGCACCGGCUAACUUCGUG